GAUGAACGCUUGCGGCAGGCCUAAUACAUGAAAGUCGAACGGUGUAUUCGGACAUAGCGGCGCACGGGUGCGUAACACGUAUGCAACCUACAUUACGUUGGGGGAGAGCCUUUCGAAAGGGAGAUUAAUACCGCAUACGACAGAAGCUGGGCAUCCAGCAGCUGUUAAAGAUUUAUCGAUGUAAGAUGGGCAUGCGUCCAAUUAGUUAGUUGGCGAGGUAACGGCUCACCAAGACUUUGAUUGGUAGGGGAACUGAGAGGUCAAUCCCCCACACUGGCACUGAGAUACGGGCCAGACUCCUACGGGAGGCAGCAGUAGGGAAUAUUGGGCAAUGGACGCAAGUCUGACCCAGCCAUGCCGCGUGCAGGAUGAAGGCGUUAUGCGUUGUAAACUGCUUUUAUACAGGAAGAAACGACUCUUGCGAGAGGCAUUGACGGUACUGUAUGAAUAAGCACCGGCUAACUCCGUGCCAGCCGCCGCGGUAAGAC
rnacentral:rRNA from 1 species